UACGAAGGGGGCUAGCGCUUGUUCGGAUUUACUGGGCGUAAAGCGCACGUAGGCGGAUCGAUCAGUCAGGGGUGAAAUCCCAGAGCUCAACUCUGGAACUGCCUUUGAUACUGUCGAUCUGGAGUAUGGAAGAGGUGAGUGGAAUUCCGAGUGUAGAGGUGAAAUUCGUAGAUAUUCGGAGGAACACCAGUGGCGAAGGCGGCUCACUGGUCCAUUACUGACGCUGAGGUGCGAAAGCGUGGGGAGCAAACAGG
rnacentral:rRNA from 1 species